CCCCGGCACCAAAAAAAAAAAAAAAAAAAAAGACAUUGAGGCAGCCACAAUAGCACAGCUAAAAAUUGAACUCAGGGCUUCAUGUAUGCUAUUUAAGCACCCUACCACUAAGCUAUAUCCCAUCUCUGAAACCAUAUUUUUAUGUGGGCAUCUAUUAUGGCUGGAAAUUUUUGGUUUUCUUCUUCAAACAGAACUGGGUUAGUUUUCACUGAUUGUUGAAAUGUGGUUGGUAUGAAGUUUGGUGUACUUUGUCUCUUCGUAGGUAUAGGUGGUAUAGCCAGCAUGCCGCCGCUUACAGCUGUUGCUCCAGUGCCAAUGGGAUCCAUCCCGGUUGUUGGAAUGUCUCCACCCUUAGUAUCUUCUGUUCCUCCGACAGCAGUGCCUCCCUUGGCUAAUGGGGCUCCCCCUGUCAUCCAGCCUCUGCCCGCCUUUGCUCAUCCUGCAGCCACAUUGCCAAAGAGUUCUUCCUUCAGUAGAUCUGGUCCAGGGUCACAGUUAAACACUAAAUUACAGAAGGCACAAUCAUUUGAUGUGGCCAGGUAAGCUUGCUUGGUUUUAAUGAGAAGUUUGGCUAAAAUCAUUACCUGAUUAACUCUUUUUUCUCUUUUUGGUACUGGGGAUCGAACUCGGGACCUUGUGCUUGUGAGGCAGGCAGCAGAACCACUGAGCUAAAUCCCUGGCCCUGACUAACUCUUGAAAACUGGUUAUAUAUAUAU
rnacentral:lncRNA from 1 species